rnacentral:rRNA from 1 species
AGUGAACGCUGGCGGUAGGCCUAACACAUGCAAGUCGAACGGCAGCACAGUAAGAGCUUGCUCUUACGGGUGGCGAGUGGCGGACGGGUGAGGAAUACAUCGGAAUCUACUUUUUCGUGGGGGAUAACGUAGGGAAACUUACGCUAAUACCGCAUACGACCUACGGGUGAAAGCAGGGGAUCUUCGGACCUUGCGCGAUUGAAUGAGCCGAUGUCGGAUUAGCUAGUUGGCGGGGUAAAGGCCCACCAAGGCGACGAUCCGUAGCUGGUCUGAGAGGAUGAUCAGCCACACUGGAACUGAGACACGGUCUAGACUCCUACGGGAGGCAGCAGUGGGGAAUAUUGGACAAUGGGCGCAAGCCUGAUCCAGCCAUACCGCGUGGGUGAAGAGGGCCUUCGGGUUGUAAAGCCCUUUUGUUGGGAAAGAAAAGCAGCAGGUUAAUACCCCGCUGUUCUGACGGUACCCAAAGAAUAAGCACCGGCUAACUUCGUG